rnacentral:rRNA from 1 species
UACAGAGGUCCCGAGCGUUGUUCGGAUUCACUGGGCGUAAAGGGUGCGUAGGUGGUGAGGUAAGUCGGAUGUGAAAUCUCCAAGGCUCAACUUGGAAAUGGCAUUGGAAACUACCUUGCUGGAGGUUUGGAGGGGGACUGGAAUUCGUCGGUGUAGCAGUGAAAUGCGUAGAUAUCGGGAGGAACACCUGUGGCGAAGGCGGUUCUCUGGGCCUGUACUGACGCUGAGGAACGAAAGCGUGGGGAGCGAACAGA